AAGUUGCAGGGUAUAGACCCGAAACCCGGUGAUCUAGCCAUGGGCAGGUUGAAGGUUGGGUAACACUAACUGGAGGACCGAACCGACUAAUGUUGAAAAAUUAGCGGAUGACCUGUGGCUGGGGGUGAAAGGCCAAUCAAACCGGGAGAUAGCUGGUUCUCCCCGAAAGCUAUUUAGGUAGCGCCUCGUGAACUCAUCUCCGGGGGUAGAGCACUGUUUCGGCUAGGGGGCCAUCCCGGCUUACCAACCCGAUGCAAACUGCGAAUACCGGAGAAUGUUAUCACGGGAGACACACGGCGGGUGCUAACGUCCGUCGUGAAGAGGGAAACAACCCAGACCGCCAGCUAAGGUCCCAAAGUCAUGGUUAAGUGGGAAACGAUGUGGGAAGGCCCAGACAGCCAGGAUGUUGGCUUAGAAGCAGCCAUCAUUUAAAGAAAGCGUAAUAGCUCACUGGUCGAGUCGGCCUGCGCGGAAGAUGUAACGGGGCUAAACCAU
rnacentral:rRNA from 1 species